rnacentral:lncRNA from 1 species
GCCUCCAUCUACAAAGUCGAAACUGAGCUCAUUCUCCUCCGCCAUAGCUGUGAGGCCGAGACACCAAACGAGCUCCGAUCGAGACGCCGCCUAGGUCGAGACACCGAUCCUUCUCUUUCUCUCUUCACUGCACCUGCACGACGCUGCCGACGCCUCCUUCUUUCUCCCUCAUAGAUCGACGCACCGAGUGAGACAGCUCCCGAGACGGCGCCCAGCUCUGUCCCUCUCUCUCUCUCUCUCUCUCUCUCUCUCUCUUCACUUCACCUGCACGAAGCCUCCUCUCUCCCUCUCGGAUCGAGACGCCGCCCAGGACUGCUCUAUCCUUCUCUCUUUCUCUCUUCACUUCAUCUGCCAACUCGAAGCCAGAGAAUAGGAGAUCGUUGUUCUUCAGCACUUAGGAGUUAGGACAGUGAGAGUCUCAGGAGUUUGAAUCUCAUCAACCCAAACUUUUGCCUCCAACAAUCAUUACGUGCAGUCCCCAUCGCUCGCUACCUCACGCCCACCAUCUACCACCCCCGCCAUCAGUCUUAGCAUCCUCAGCAGCUCAAUCAGGCAUUGCAUCUUCUCGUAAAGUAUCCUGUACUAGUGACAUCUAAAUUCAUGAGGUAUGGUUUUAGCAAAGAAGUUGUUGAGUGCCCAGAUUACUGGCCAUCGAGCAUUCGGGUUUGUGGCUUUUGGUUUCUGCCUAAUGAUGGAUGGCUAUUGUAG